rnacentral:tRNA from 1 species
GAGGGUAUAGCUCAGUGGUAGAGUGCAUGCCUAGCAUGCCUGGGGUCCUGGGUUCAAUUCCCAGUACCUCCG